CCUACGGGAGGCAGCAGUGGGGAAUAUUGGGCAAUGGAGGAAACUCUGACCCAGCGACGCCGCGUGCGGGAUGAAGGCCUUCGGGUUGUAAACCGCUUUCAGUAGGGAAGAAGCGAAAGUGACGGUACCUACAAAAGAAGCACCGGCUAACUAUGUGCCAGCAGCCGCGGUAAUACAUAGGGUGCAAGCGUUGUCCGGAAUUAUUGGGCGUAAAGAGCUCGUAGGUCGUUUGUUACGUCGGAUGUGAAAACCUGAGGCUCAACCUCAGGCCUGCAUUCGAUACGGGCAAACUAGAGUUUGGUAGGGGAGACUGGAAUUCCUGGUGUAGCGGUGGAAUGCGCAGAUAUCAGGAGGAACACCAAUGGCGAAGGCAGGUCUCUGGGCCAAUACUGACACUGAGGAGCGAAAGUCUGGGGAGCGAACAGGAUUAGAUACCCUGGUAGUCCAGACCGUAAACGGUGGGCACUAGUUGUGGGAACCUUCCACGGUUUCUGCGACGCNGCUACGCAUAGUGCCCGCCGUGGGAGGUACGAGCGCGAGAGUUAAACUACAAAUAGAAGUUAAGUACGGCGUUGAGACGUUGCCGAACGGCGACCGACGAGGGGAGGAGG
rnacentral:rRNA from 1 species